rnacentral:lncRNA from 10 species
CACUCAGCUGCCAAAGCUGAAACCUGGGGAUUACCCUUGAUUUUGCCCUCUUUCACCCCUACCAGUCAAUCACCAAGUCUGUCAAUUCUAUUUCCUUCUUUCCUUCUUAUCUGCAUUGUAUCCACUUCUCCCUAUCCUGAGUCUGGCUUCUGCUCCAAAAUCUCCACCAAAAUUUCUUCUUUUUCUUUUUUUUAGGCAGGGUCUGGCUCUGUCACCCAGGCUGGAGUGCAGUGGUAUGA